UACGUAGGCAGCAAGCGUUGUUCGGAGUUACUGGGCGUAAAGGUGUGUAGGCGGUUGCUUAAGUUUGGUGUGAAAUCUCCCGGCUCAACUGGGAGGUGCGCCGAAUACUGAGUGACUAGAGUGCGGGAGAGGAAAGUGGAAUUCCUGGUGUAGCGGUGAAAUGCGUAGAUAUCAGGAGGAACAUCGGUGUGUAGACGGCUUCUGGACCGUAACUGACGCUGAGACACGAAAGCGUGGGGAGCAAACAGG
rnacentral:rRNA from 1 species